UGGUGUCAUGAUGCCUGUUUGAUACACAAU
rnacentral:piRNA from 1 species